rnacentral:rRNA from 1 species
UUUUCAAAAACAUGUUCUUUUGUUUUAAAUAAAAGAUCUGGCCUGCUCUAUGAUUUAUUAAAUGGCUGCAGUAUUUUGACUGUACAAAGGUAGCAUAAUCAUUUGUCUCUUAAUUGGAGACUGGUAUGAAUGGUUGGAUGAAAAAUAUACUUUCUUUAUUUUAUAAAAAUAAAUUGAUUUUUUAGUUAAAAAGCUAAAAUGAUUUUAUAGGACGAGAAGACCCUAUAGAACUUUACUUAUUAUAGUGAAUAUGAUUUUUAUAUUUUUAAAAUUUUAUAUAUUAAAAUAAGUUGUGUUGGGGUGACAGAAAAAAUUAUAUAACUUUUUUAUAUUUUAACAUAUAUAUAUGUUUUUUUGAUCCUUUAUUAUGGAUAAUAAGAUUAAGUUACCUUAGGGAUAACAGCGUUAUUUUUUCGGAGAGUUCAUAUUGAUGAAAAAGUUUGCGACCUCGAUGUUGGAUUAAAAUAAGUUACAGGGGCAUAAUAUUGUAUGACUAGGUCUGUUCGACCUUUAAAUUUUUACAUGAUCUAGUUUCCAACCGGGA